rnacentral:misc_RNA from 1 species
UUUCCGUAGGUGAACCUGCGGAAGGAUCAUUAAAGAGUUCAUGCCCUACAGGGUAUAUCUCCCACCAUACGCUAUGAUUACUUUGUUACUUGAGCUGGCCGUUGGACUCCGGCCCGACUACCAGCCUUGUUUGGUAAGCGCUCGUCAGAAAACUCAAAACCAUAAAUAUUACUAUCGUCUGAUUACUAUAUAAGAUUUAUAACUUUCAACAACGGAUAUCUUCGCUCUGGCAUCGAUGAAGAACCCUGCAAAUCGGAAUCACCUAUGCCUGAACCGCAA